rnacentral:lncRNA from 1 species
UUGGGCGUUAACGUUUGGGGUGUAACAUUUUCUUCUAUUGUUUGAACAUUCUUUUCACUCACCUGGAACAAUGUGGCUAAGUCUUCAAGAAAAAAUCCUCCCAUGCUCACCUGUUGUAUUUUUAUGCUGUUGUGGGUUUUUUGUUGUUAUUUGUGGUGCUGGGGAUGAAACACAGGGACUCAUGCAUGCUGGGCAAGUGCUGUGCCAAUGAGCUACACCCCCGAACCUUUCUUCUGUUACUCUCAAAAGAAGUUAAUCUCUGCAUUUUUACCAUAUUAGAUAAAUAUCAUGUAAUUGUCAAUUAUUUAUUUCAUCAUAUUAAGAGAAUACUACAUGGGUUGUCAAUGAUAUCCAAUAUCAUGAACUCAAUACUAUCCUCCUCAAUUUACAAGAAGGAAACAACAAACGUUAAGACAUGGUGUCUGCCUUAAAUGCAUGAAGAAACUAAGUCAACUCGAGAAUAAUAUGGCCUAUAACUCACAUCAGUCCCAUGGCUGCAACUGAAGACCAAGGAGGACUCAGUGUGGAACUGCGUGGACUAAGGUCAAGGAAGAAGUCACCAAAG